GUACACGCUGUGACUAGCAUAUCAAUAAGCGGAGGAAAAGAAACUAACAAGGAUUCCCCUAGUAACGGCGAGUGAAGCGGGAAGAGCUCAAAUUUGAAAUCUUAAAGGGUUUCCCUUUACGAAUUGUAGUUUAAAGAAGUGUUUUCUGUUGAGGUUUUGGUAAAAGUUCUUUGGAAUAGGACAUCAUAGAGGGGUGAGAAUCCCGUAUUUGACCUUUACUUUCAACUUUGUGAUACACUUUCAAAGAGUCGGAUUGUUUGGGAAUGCAGUCCAAAAUGGGUGGUAAAUUUCAUCUAAAGCUAAAUAUUGGCGAGAGACCGAUAGCGAACAAGUACCGUGAGGGAAAGAUGAAAAGAACUUUGAAAAGAGAGUUAAACAGUACGUGAAAUUGUCAAAAGGGAAGCGUUUGACACCAGUGUUGUUUUUCUGAAAAUCAAUUAAAGAACUGUUUAUGCUAAGUUGUUUAGACUUUAUCAGCUAACUGUUUAGUUUUGAGCUUUUCUUUAAUGCACUUUUCAGUUAACAAGUCAACAUCAAUUUCUUUUGCUGUAAAAAAGCUUGAGGAAGGUGGCUUGAGAUUCGUCUUAAGUGUUUAUAGCCUCUUGCCUAUGCAGUCGGAGAGAUUGAGGUCUGCAGCGUAGAUCCUUCGGGGCUAAAUGCAUUUGUGCUAAGUUAUAGCAUUUUAUAGACAACUUGUUGACUAUGAUUUGUCUUGUAGCUUACUCGCCUAUGUUAUUUUACCUACGCUUAGGAUGUUGAGUCGUAGAGCACGCAG
rnacentral:rRNA from 1 species